AGGACGGACACCCAAGCCUCCGGUGGUAGAUGAGAUGAGUAUUCUAAGGCGCGUGAAAGAACUCUGGUUAAGGAACUCUGCAAACUAGCACCGUAAGUUCGCGAUAAGGUGUGCCGCAGCUAUGGGGUCUCAGCAAAGAGUCCCUCCCGACUGUUUACCAAAAACACAGCACUUUGCCAACUCGUAAGAGGAAGUAUAAGGUGUGACGCCUGCCCGGUGCUCGAAGGUUAAGAGGAUGCGUCAGUCGCAAGAUGAAGCGUUGAAUUGAAGCCCGAGUAAACGGCGGCCGUAACUAUAACGGUCCUAAGGUAGCGAAAUUCCUUGUCGGUUAAAUACCGACCUGCAUGAAUGGCGUAACGAGAUGGGAGCUGUCUCAACCAGAGAUUCAGUGAAAUUGUAGUGGAGGUGAAAAUUCCUCCUACCCGCGGCAAGACGGAAAGACCCCGUGGACCUUUACUACAACUUAGCACUGCUAAUGGGAAUAUCAUGCGCAGGAUAGGUGGGAGGCUUUGAAGUAAGGGCUUUGGCUCUUAUGGAGCCAUCCUUGAGAUACCACCCUUGAUGUUUCUGUUAGCUAACUGGCCUGUGUUAUCCACAGGCAGGACAAUGCUUGGUGAUCUAGUUUGACU
rnacentral:rRNA from 1 species